rnacentral:rRNA from 1 species
CAGCAGCCACGGUAAUACGGAGGGUGCAAGCGUUAUCCGGAUUCACUGGGUUUAAAGGGUGCGUAGGCGGAUCUGUAAGUCAGUGGUGAAAUCUCCAGGCUUAACCUGGAAACUGCCGUUGAUACUAUAGGUCUUGAAUUUUGUGGAGGUUAGCGGAAUAUGUCAUGUAGCGGUGAAAUGCAUAGAUAUGACAUAGAACACCAAUUGCGAAGGCAGCUGGCUACACAACUAUUGACGCUGAGGCACGAAAGCGUGGGGAUCAAACAGGAUUAGAUACCCGGGUAGUCCCUGUCUCUUAUAA